AUCGCUUCUCGGCCUUUUGGCUAAGAUCAAGUGUAAAAUUCUUGCUUUGCCCAAAAUUCCCAGCAUAUUUUUGUAAUAUUUCUUUCUCACAAUCUAUUUUUUAACUUCUUAUUUUGAAGAAAAAAAAAGGUAUAGAAACACAGGAGGUGGCAAAGAAAUGCACUGAGUAGUCUCAAGCACCA